CUCCUGCCCGGCCACCAGCAGAGGGCAGGAGAGACACGCAGAUGCCAAACUGCACAGUCCUUAGCCAAGCUUCUCCACUGGGGAAACUGGGUCACUUGGUCCUGCCAGGCGGCAAACGUCCCGAGCGGGUGGGCAUCGGCGCAUCCGGGUCUCUGGACUGGUGGAAGUAGCCCCCGCUUGCAGAAGGAAGGAUGAGAUCGCCUCUGCAGGCCGCCUGGGACACUUGAAGGCCAGAAAGGAAACAAUGGCCAGGGGCCCAGGGGAAGCCUCCUGUUUGAAAAGGCCCAGGGAGAGAGGAAGGCGCUUGCCAAGUGGCCGGAGCCAAGUCAUUAACCAGCCUGAAGGGGCAGAAAUGGUCUUCUUGGCCUCGGGAUGGAUCGGGAGCGUCCAAAGCAAUUUGCAGACUAACUUGAAAGGCCCUGCAUCUCUCAGAGCAGCGCUGGGACUGUCAUUAGCACCAACCACACUCAGCCUCCCUGAGCCUCAACGACAUGGAAAUGGCUUGAUCUCCCUCGACUGUGCUGGGGAUUCCUUGAAAACAGGCUCCAGGACUCUGCACGGCUUCAUAAACCCACAGUGUCCCGCAGGACUUAGCACAUGUAAAUUUUAAUGCCUCUUCAUUGAUCACCUAGAAGUGGAGGCUUAUUAAGGGGGUCAUGAAACUUGAGUUCUCUUCCGUUAAGACAACGGAACUUGAGAUCUCUUCCAUCAGGACAGUGUUUUCCAAGGUGUGUUCUGUGGGUUGCAGGAUAUUAAUAAGUGUUACAGGAUGAGAGGCCCAUGACCAACUAAAGCACAUUUUUAGUGCCUUUAAUACGUGAAUGUACAUUGUAAUUUGCCAAGAAAAUAAAAGGAGGGGCGCCUGGGUGGCUCA